rnacentral:lncRNA from 1 species
GGCUUCACAUUUUAUGGUAGUCUUCACAAUUCGGGGUAGUAAUAAUAGGCUUCACAGUUCAGGGUAAGAAGAAGGAACUGAAAUACAGGUACAUAUGUUUUUGGUCCAACUAAACUAACGUAAAACCUCUAUCUAAUCAGGCAAAUCAAUUAACCAGACAAAAGACGGUUCAAACGGUACAAAACACAUAGUGUUUAAAAAUAC